GACGAACGCUGGCGGCGUGCUUAACACAUGCAAGUCGAACGGAAAGGCCCUGCUUUUGUGGGGUGCUCGAGUGGCGAACGGGUGAGUAACACGUGAGUAACCUGCCCUUGACUUUGGGAUAACUUCAGGAAACUGGGGCUAAUACCGGAUAGGAGCUCCUGCUGCAUGGUGGGGGUUGGAAAGUUUCGGCGGUUGGGGAUGGACUCGCGGCUUAUCAGCUUGUUGGUGGGGUAGUGGCUUACCAAGGCUUUGACGGGUAGCCGGCCUGAGAGGGUGACCGGCCACAUGGGGAUGGAGAUACGGCCCAGACGCCUACGGGAGGCAGAAGUGGGGAAUAUGGCACAAGGGGCGGAAGCCUGAUGCAGCAACGCCGCGUGCGGGAGGACGGCCUUCGGGUUGUAAACCGCUUUCGCCGGUGACGAAGCGUGAGUGACGGGAAUGGGUAAAGAAGCACGGGCUAACUACGUG
rnacentral:rRNA from 1 species